rnacentral:rRNA from 1 species
GCUCAGCCAUAAACCCAGACGUCCAACUACAAUUAGACAUCCGCCCGGGUACUACGAGCAUUAGCUUGAAACCCAAAGGACCUGACGGUGCCUCAGACCCCCCUAGAGGAGCCUGUUCUAGAACCGAUAACCCCCGUUAAACCUCACCACUUCUAGCCACCCCAGCCUAUAUACCGCCGUCGUCAGCUUACCCUGUGAAGGCAAUAAAAGUAAGCAAAAUGGGCACAACCCAGAACGUCAGGUCGAGGUGUAGCGUACGAAGCGGGAAGAAAUGGGCUACAUUUUCUAUUAUAGAACACU